CAGUCGAGCGGCAGCGGGACCUUCGGGUUGCCGGCGAGCGGCGGACGGGUGAGUAAUGCCUAGGAAUCUGCCUGUUAGUGGGGGAUAACGCGGGGAAACUCGCGCUAAUACCGCAUACGUCCUACGGGAGAAAGCGGGGGCUCUUCGGACCUCGCGCUAACAGAUGAGCCUAGGUCGGAUUAGCUAGUUGGUGGGGUAAUGGCCCACCAAGGCGACGAUCCGUAACUGGUCUGAGAGGAUGAUCAGUCACACUGGAACUGAGACACGGUCCAGACUCCUACGGGAGG
rnacentral:rRNA from 1 species